rnacentral:rRNA from 1 species
GACGAACGCUGGCGGCGUGCUUAACACAUGCAAGUCGAACGGAAAGGCCCUGCUUUUGUGGGGUGCUCGAGUGGCGAAAGGGUGAGUAACACGUGAGUAACCUGCCCUUGACUUUGGGAUACCUUCAGGAAACUGGGGCUAAUACCGGAUAGGAGCUCCUGCUGCAUGGUGGUGGUUGGAAAGAUUCGGAGGUUUGGGAUGGACGCGCGGCUUAUCAGCUUGUUGGUGGGGUAGUGGCGUAACAAGGCUUUGACGGGUAGCCGGCCUGAGAGGGUGACCGGCCACAUUGGGCCUGAGAUACGGCCCAGACUCCUACGGCAGGCAUCAGUGGGGAUUAUUGCGCAAUGGGCGGAAGCCUGAUGGAGCAACGCCGCGUGCGGGAUGACGGUCUUCGGGUUGUAACCCGCUUUCGCCUGUGACGAAGCGUGAGUGACGGUAAUGGGUAAAGAAGCACCGGCUAACUACGUG